UCCACUGCUAAAAUGGCUAAAGAGGAAGACAAAGAAGACCAACAAGAAGGACGAGACAAAAGAAAAAGGGUGGAGAAGGAGAAGAGACGAACUGCAGGGGAUGGUGGAGAGGGGAGGUAGAAGGGAGGAGAGAAACCGCCAUCUCCAGCUCUCUCUAGUACUAUCCAACCACAAUGAAUUCUAGUAGUCUCUGAGAUAAUGGAGGGC
rnacentral:lncRNA from 1 species